UACGUAGGGUGCAAGCGUUGUCCGGAAUCAUUGGGCGUAAAGAGCGUGUAGGCGGCCUGGUAAGUCCGCUGUGAAAGUCCAGGGCUCAACCCUGGAAUGCCGGUGGAAACUGUCAGGCUCGAGUCCGGAAGAGGCGAGUGGAAUUCCUGGUGUAGCGGUGAAAUGCGCAGAUAUCAGGAGGAACACCAAUGGCGAAGGCAGCUCGCUGGGACGGUACUGACGCUAAGACGCGAAAGCGUGGGGAGCAAACAGG
rnacentral:rRNA from 1 species